AUUGAACGCUGGCGGCAUGCCUUACACUUGCAAGUCGAACGGUAACGGGCCUUCGGGUGCCGACGAGUGGCGAACGGGUGAGUAAUACAUCGGAACGUGCCCGAUCGUGGGGGAUAACGAGGCGAAAGCUUUGCUAAUACCGCAUACGAUCUACGGAUGAAAGAAGGGGACCGCAAGGCCUUGCGCGGACGGAGCGGCCGAUGGCAGAUUAGGUAGUUGGUGGGAUAAAAGCUUACCAAGCCGACGAUCUGUAGCUGGUCUGAGAGGAUGAUCAGCCACACUGGGACUGAGACACGGCCCAGACUCCUACGGGAGGCAGCAGUGGGGAAUUUUGGACAAUGGGCGCAAGCCUGAUCCAGCCAUGCCGCGUGCAGGAUGAAGGCCUUCGGGUUGUAAACUGCUUUUGUACGGAACGAAAAGCCUUCUUUUAAUACAGGAGGGUCAUGACGGUACCGUAAGAAUAAGCACCGGCUAACUACGUG
rnacentral:rRNA from 1 species